UCUUGGGCUUCGGGAGUGUUUCCCAUUUAAACAAACACAGCGCUGAAGAUGGCGGAGAGUUAAUAGCGAAACGAAGAAGAUAUCGGUGCGCUCACAGAGAUACAUCGUUUUGGAAAUGAACAGAAACCCCUCUUCAAUCACAGAGGGAAACAAGGUGAUCAACUACCCACAUCGGGACCACACGUCAAUACAAAAUAAUGAAUGUGCUUCUCAUUAUAAAUCGUGUGUGAUCUCUGAUCAUUUAUGUUAAUAUAGGCAAGGCUUUAGAUAGGAAAAUUGUUGCAAAGAGGAAAUGCGCUCAAGCAGUAGAACAUUUUGAGAUAAUACUUUAAAGUACUACCUAAGUUGUUUUUUGGGGGUCAUUUUUACUUGAUUUAUAUUUGGACUACUUUCACUUUUACUCCACUACAUUCCUAAAGAAAAUAAUGUACUUUUUACUUCAUACAUUUUCCCUGACACCCAAAAGUAUUUCCAAAUGCUUAGCAGGACAGGAAAAUUGUCCAAUUCACACACUUAUCAAGAGAACAUCCCUGGUCAUCUCUGCUGCCUCCGAUCUGGCAGGCUCCCUAAACAUAAAUGCUUAGUUUUUAAAUUAUGUCUGAGUGUUAGAGUGUGCCCCUGGCUAUCCGUAAAAAUAAAUAAAAGUAAAAUGGAAGUCG